rnacentral:lncRNA from 1 species
AUGAAUCGAAAGAGCACUAUAAACAAUAUAUACAAUCCCAAAAGUUAUAUUUACAUCUUCAAAAGUCUCGAGUCAAACUACUCUAAUACACUAUAACCACAACCAGCAGAAGAUAGACCCUAAGAAGGGUCCUUAUACAACCCACCAAAACAAAGAAACAAACAUACUAUAUGUCCAAGUAUUACAAUCAACCUAACUAGACUAGUGUACGUGCCAAAAGUCCCCGCAUCGGCCCCUGCUAAGGAAAACAAAAGGAAAGGGGUAAGCUAUAUGCUUAGUAAGUAAACAGGGGCAAAAGCAUAAAUUCACGUAGCAACCAUUACACAAUAAGAGUAAAGCAAAAGCAGAAAAGUAACAUCACAUAAUAAGGAUACAGAUGGCUCCAAAACCAAGUCAUGUGCCAUGCGUGAUCUCCUGUCGACACUCCGUCGACCAAAAAUAAGGUCCGUAGAACUUCACUUGUACACCCACCGACACCUUAUCACCCUCACUGGCCAGUCACCUCACAAACUUGCCCGGGCGAACGAAAUCACAAACUUGAGCUUGAGUCACAAGCUCGGGUCACAAACUUGGUCACCUUCUCGGUGAACCGGAUUCACAAAAUUGGUUCAUAACAUGAACCUACAAACUUGGUGACCUCAGACUAAGUUGGACUGACUUCGACCAAGCCCUAACCGGCCCGAAUAGUCCAUCUAGGUCAUGAGUUCAACCUCAAACUCACAAACUUCACAAAAUUUAUUCAAAAAUCACCCCGAGCCACAAGCUCAAGGGGUUUAGUUCCAAAAUGAUUCAUAUACAUAUGUCAUGUACAAAUAUGAGCACAAACUAGGGUUUAGGUCGAGUGCGAUAAAGUACACCCUCGCCUAGGUACCCUUUUCAUACAUAUCGAAACGCAUAAACAACUAACACACAAAAGCGGCCUGAAUACUUACACAAUGAACAAAAGAGCAAAAUACGAAAUUCGUGCCGCGAGGAGUAGCUAGUAGGCCCUACCAGCUCCACCUAGCUCACCAACGUCUGAAAUAGAAGAUUGUGUCACAAUAUAUCACAAACGGCUACCAACAUACUUAAAACAAGCCAAACGACAAAAUCGGCACGUACGAGUGCGGAAACGGCACACGGAAACGGGAAUGGCCGCCAAGCCAUUUUGGCGUCAAAACUGUUUUGAGCCUAAUCGAAGCUAUGAGUGUCAGAUCAAGGUACAUGAGGUACCGUUACGAAGCUAAGAGACAGGGUUACAAUAUUGUAGAAGGUCACUCAAUCCAGUUUCGAAUGUAAAUAGGUCAAAAGGCAAGAUACUAUAUCAAAAACGUAAAACAGAUUCACCAAAACGCAUUCCAGCGGAAACAUCAUUACUCAGGCUCUACAAGUCCAAAUCCAGAAAUUCCAAAGGCAUAUGGUAGCUAAUACAUCAAGAUACAUUUCAUCAGAAGACCUCAAAGGCCAAAUCGUGCAUUUUCAUGAUCGAAAAUGGAAGACUACACGAAAACAGAAAUCUGGGCGCGAAACAGGUUUCAAAAACAGUCAAGGGUAUUUCGGUCAUAUCACAUGAUACAGUGGUCGGAUCAAGCUGAAAAUUUACAGGAAACUAUUUUAUGGCCUUGGCUACAACUUUCAUAUUUUGGCCAAAAUAUAAUUCGGUGAGGAUCAGGGUGAAAAGUCACGGUCCAAUUGAGUGAAAAGGCAACCCUGUUCGCAGCACCCCUUCCCAGGCCAGUCUCAGUAUUUCCGACUUUUCUCACUCCACACUACUCCAAUUGACCUGAAAUUUUACAGGCACCUUUAAAACAUCAAUAUAUACAACUUUCAUGUUUUAAACAAAGGCCAAUUCGGCCUCUAACCAUAUGAUACAAAACCGGACAGAAAAGAGGGCAAAAUUUUCCAGAUUCUCGAAUUUUCAAUUUUCCAUGCAACCUUCCUUGAUUUCUUACUUCCAACACUACCAAAACCCCUUAUAUAACCUUAAUUACAACAUAUAUUAAUCAUACACCAAGUUGGACAGAAAAUCAUCAAACCCUAGUUCAUAUAACCAAAAGGGAAAAACCCCCAAAACAUGAUAGCAUCCAUUAUUCACCACCAAAUUUGAGUUGCUAAGCUAAUUUACACAAGAUUCAAAAGAUCAAAGACCAUGAUCAGAUUUCAUACCUCAAAGACAAGCUUGGAUGAGUGAUAAUCAACCCCCUUGGAAAAUUUCUGGUUCCCCUAGCUUCCCAAGCUUCCAAACUUACAAUCAAUCGGUUUAGUUUUCUUGUUGCUCACUUAAAUGGAUCAAACUCAAGAUGGAUUGGAGUUUCUUUCUCUUGGUUUUUCUCCCUCUCACUCUCGGCCAAGACAAGCAGAAAU